GUCUCUAGUGCCAAGGACUUCGGGAAAAGCUAGGGAUGCAGCACGAGUUGGGUUCUCCCUCAGAGUCUCCAGAAGGAGUUAAUCCUGCCAACCCUUGAUUUCAGACCUCUGGCCUCCUCAAUGCUGCAGAUUCCUUUCUGACAGCUGCAGCAAUAGCAGUUGUGCCAUUAGUCCAAGCUGGAAUGCCACUGUCUUCUGUGAUAUCCUCUGCUUCCUCCAGGGAUCACCAUUAUUGCAACUGAUGACUCACCAAGCCCAACACUGCCACCCCACCCUUCUCAUCAGCACUAUCACUUGCUGGGAAAUCUUCAAUGGAUGGGAAAUAAGUGCUGAGGGAAGCUAAGGAAACCAUGGAAACCUCCCCUCCAAUCUCCAUAAGAAUCAACAAGGAUCCUGAACAACUGCCCCUGUUAGACACUGACUCAGAGGAUAAAGGUGGGCCUGAACCACUGACUCUUGGUUUUGUAGCCCAGCACAUAUAUUGAGACAACCAGGUACUAACUUUUGUGCUCUUCCCUUACCAUAUCUCACUGAAUUGGGAGCAUGAUCAUAUCAGUGUAAAACCUUUGUUAGACUAAUAAUGUCUCAAAAGUGCCAACUGGAGCAGAAUCUUUCUUUACUUCUCUAACAGAACUCAUGAAGAAUCAAUACCUGGUGCAAACCAAAAGUGAGAAGGAAAAUUUAAAGUCAAAAUUUGGGAUAACUUAGAAAGACCAUUAAAAUGUAGAGAUGACUUUACCACAUGGAACACUAAAUACAAAGUUCUGGCCAUGGUAACGAUGAUACUUUAGGAAUAGAUGUUGGCACAGCACAUCCACAUGAGUGAAAUUAGGCAAUUAUAUUUUUGAAUAUAAAUAGGCCAAAAAUUGAUCAUUUACUAUACUCUUAUGCUGCUUAAUCCAUAAUUACCUAUGAGAAAAUUAACAAUAGAUCCAUGGACUCUACGUCCAGACUUCAAGACAAUAGGAAAACUAUGUAAAGUGUAUACAGGACACAUAGGAAAUUGAGCAUAUAAUGCAUAUCAUUAUCCAUGGUGAUAUACAUUAGGCUUCUCUAUCCCACCACAGAUUUCUAUCCCAAGAGCACGUAUGCUAACAAAAUGUCUCACAGUCAUAUUGUAACCUGCAAUAGUAGCUUAUACCUUGACAUUUAAUAUGUACAAGACUUUCAAGCCAGGAAUAGAUCCUCAAAUUCUGCUCAGUUUUAUCCAUCUUUUGUUACACCCACUUUACGACCCAUGCCAAAGAUCAAUUCACUGGAAGGAAGAGCACCCUUGUAGCUCCUUUGCAAACUGGUAGGAGGUUUAACUGGAGGAGCAAUGGCAGCUGCUUCUUCCCAAUUCCAAAUUGAUCAAGUCACAUUAGAUUUUUAAAACUUUGAAACAAAAAAAAAAAUCUCAAUUUAACACAUGCAAUGGCAGCUUUAUCACUGCUGGGUACACAGAUGGAUUAAAUUAGCAAUACAUUACCAAACAUGAGUGAAUUUCAUAUGGAAGUAAAUAGAGCAAGGGAAGCUCUACAUAAAGCAGUUGGAGAAAAUGCUUAAAAAA